AUGUUUUCAUUAAUCAAGAAC
rnacentral:ncRNA from 2 species